UACGUAGGGAGCAAGCGUUGUCCGGAAUUACUGGGCGUAAAGGGUGCGUAGGUGGUCAAGUAAGUCAGAUGUGAAAGACCGGGGCUCAACCCCGGGGUUGCAUUUGAAACUGUUUGACUUGAGUACAGGAGAGGGAAGUGGAAUUCCUAGUGUAGCGGUGAAAUGCGUAGAUAUUAGGAGGAACACCAGUGGCGAAGGCGACUUUCUGGACUGUAACUGACACUGAGGCACGAAAGCGUGGGGAGCAAACA
rnacentral:rRNA from 1 species